CAGCUGAAGAAACCCAAGUGAAAGUGUUUGCACCUUGCUUUUAUACCCAUGCUUCCAGACAGACCCUCUUCAUGUCUAGAGAAGCCUUGCACAGAUUUACUUGUCCAAGUAGCCCAGAGCAAGUAAAUUUUAGUUUAGAAGGGGAAGUCAAAUGAUCAUCAUCAUAAAGAGCAGUUCGAGGAUCACCACCGGACAUCAAUGUUAAGAGGCAUACAGAAAAGAACACGAGUGUAUCUCCUGAGGCUCAACUUGCAGACACACAUUGGUAAUUUCACUCACAUGAGAACAGGCCCACUGAAAUCGAACACUCUACUCAUGCAAAUUAAAGAGCCAUCAGAAAUCUCUCCCCAUCCAGGUAUUGAUAGAUCAUGCU